CAGAGUUCUCGCCCUCGCGGGUAGAUCUCCCACCCUUUGUGAUUGCUACCGUGUUGCUUUGGCGGGCCGCCGGGCCCAGCCCGGCCGCCGGCUCCGGCUGGCGCGCGCCCGCCAGAGGCUCCGCAAACUCUGAAUGUCUGCGUCGUCCGAGUACUAUACAAUAGUUA
rnacentral:misc_RNA from 1 species